UACGGGGGGGGCAAGCGUUGUUCGGAAUUACUGGGCGUAAAGGGCUCGUAGGCGGCCAACUAAGUCGGACGUGAAAUCCCCAGGCUCAACCCGGGAACUGCGUCCGAUACUGGCAGGCUUGAAUCCGGGAGAGGGAUGUGGAAUUCCAGGUGUAGCGGUGAAAUGCGUAGAUAUCUGGAGGAACACCGGUGGCGAAGGCGGCAUCCUGGACCGGUAUUGACGCUGAUGCGCGAAAGCCAGGGGAGCAAACGGG
rnacentral:rRNA from 1 species